UAGGUUUUGAAAAGUAGUAACUUCUUUUAACUUUUGCAUCUUAAGAAGUAGCCAUGUUCCAAUACAUUCAAGUUGUUUUAACAUCACUUGGGCUCCAAAACAUCAGAGCAGUAAUCCAAUCGUUUAUGCUUCCUUUAAGCAGAAAGACAGUUCCUCUUGGUAGUAUCACAGACAUCUGAGGAAGGGCACAGGAAAUCUCUCUUCAAAGACGUAGCAGCUUCUACUGAGAGCAUCUGCCACAGAAUCCCAGGUUUUCAGAUCAGCAGUGCUAUCAAGCAGCAGUACUUUCACGGAUGGCCCGAGCCACGUUUCAAAGCCAAACAACUGUAUGCACUUCGCUGUUCCCAGAACCUCUGUUUGUUGCUCAUUUCUGCCUGACGCUCAUGAAUCCAUUCCUCCCACUUUUCUGCUCACUUCACUCACUCCCGUUCCCUCCUCCUUUUUUUU
rnacentral:lncRNA from 1 species